UACGAAGGGGCUAGCGUUGUUCGGAAUCACUGGGCGUAAAGGGCGCGUAGGCGGCUUUAUAAGUCGGGGUGAAAGCCUGUGGCUCAACCACAGAAUUGCCUUCGAUACUGUAGAGCUUGAGACCGGAAGAGGUAAGUGGAACUGCGAGUGUAGAGGUGAAAUUCGUAGAUAUUCGCAAGAACACCAGUGGCGAAGGCGGCUUACUGGUCCGGUUCGUGACGCUGAGGCGCGAAAGCGUGGGAGCAAACAGG
rnacentral:rRNA from 1 species